GAUGAUGCCCAGCUUGCUGGGCGGAUUAGUGGCGAACGGGUGAGUAAUACGUGAGUAACCUGCCCUUGACUCUGGGAUAAGCCUGGGAAACUGGGUCUAAUACUGGAUACUACCUCUUACCGCAUGGUGGGUGGUGGAAAGGGUUUUACUGGUUUUGGAUGGGCUCACGGCCUAUCAGCUUGUUGGUGGGGUAAUGGCUCACCAAGGCGACGACGGGUAGCCGGCCUGAGAGGGUGACCGGCCACACUGGGACUGAGACACGGCCCAGACUCCUACGGGAGGCAGCAGUGGGGAAUAUUGCACAAUGGGCGGAAGCCUGAUGCAGCGACGCCGCGUGAGGGAUGACGGCCUUCGGGUUGUAAACCUCUUUCAGUAGGGAAGAAGCGAGAGUGACGGUACCUGCAGAAGAAGCGCCGGCUAACUACGUGCCAGCAGCCGCGGUAAUACGUAGGGCGCAAGCGUUGUCCGGAAUUAUUGGGCGUAAAGAGCUCGUAGGCGGUUUGUCGCGUCUGCUGUGAAAGCCCGGGGCUCAACCCCGGGUCUGCAGUGGGUACGGGCAGACUAGAGUGCAGUAGGGGAGACUGGAAUUCCUGGUGUAGCGGUGAAAUGCGCAGAUAUCAGGAGGAACACCGAUGGCGAAGGCAGGUCUCUGGGCUGUUACUGACGCUGAGGAGCGAAAGCAUGGGGAGCGAACAGGAUUAGAUACCCUGGUAGUCCAUGCCGUAAACGUUGGGCACUAGGUGUGGGGGACAUUCCACGUUUUCCGCGCCGUAGCUAACGCAUUAAGUGCCCCGCCUGGGGAGUACGGCCGCAAGGCUAAAACUCAAAGGAAUUGACGGGGGCCCGCACAAGCGGCGGAGCAUGCGGAUUAAUUCGAUGCAACGCGAAGAACCUUACCAAGGCUUGACAUUCACCGGACCGCCCCAGAGAUGGGGUUUCCCUUCGGGGCUGGUGGACAGGUGGUGCAUGGUUGUCGUCAGCUCGUGUCGUGAGAUGUUGGGUUAAGUCCCGCAACGAGCGCAACCCUCGUUCUAUGUUGCCAGCACGUGAUGGUGGGGACUCAUAGGAGACUGCCGGGGUCAACUCGGAGGAAGGUGGGGAUGACGUCAAAUCAUCAUGCCCCUUAUGUCUUGGGCUUCACGCAUGCUACAAUGGCCGGUACAAAGGGUUGCGAUACUGUGAGGUGGAGCUAAUCCCAAAAAGCCGGUCUCAGUUCGGAUUGAGGUCUGCAACUCGACCUCAUGAAGUCGGAGUCGCUAGUAAUCGCAGAUCAGCAACGCUGCGGUGAAUACGUUCCCGGGCCUUGUACACACCGCCCGUCAAGUCACGAAAGUU
rnacentral:rRNA from 1 species